UGAAAACAAGCUAAAUAAGCAUUUCAUUUACACUGAAAAGAUUCUCGUGUUUUGCGAGGUUUUCAA
rnacentral:tRNA from 1 species